rnacentral:sRNA from 1 species
CUUAUUUUGAGGCCUAUGAUUUGAUGAAUGUCAUGUAGAAUUUAGAAAUUAUUUCUUUUUCUAUAAGUCUACACGGUUAAUUUUUUAAUGGAAAAAUAAAAAUGAUUGUAAUAAACCUCAUUUAGUAUUAAUAUUCGGUACUUGAUCGUAGAUGUGCAAAACAGAAUUCUUUUUCUUUUAUUUUAGGAAUUUUUGAUAAGUGUAGAGAGAAACAAAAGCGUUGGUGAGUCUGACAGAAUUAACGGUAUCAACAAUAGAGAGUCUUUUCCAUUUCCUAUGUUCAAUAUUUACCUAAGUUUGGUAUAAAUUACCAAUGCAAUGUCGUUUGAAAGAUUACAAACGAGUUUUCAUGCUAUUGUUAGGUGGAAGAACUUUUGUGAUUCGAGCAAUUGUACAUAUAGCUCUAUUGAGAGAGAACAAUAGUUGUACAAAAAACAAAUGUACAAAUAAAAGAUGAAUGAUGUUUUGUUGUUCAAUGUUGUAUAGUGUCUUUUACUUUUCAAAUAAUUAAAAAACAAAACUGCAAAAAUAGUGACCAUGAUAACUAUAAUUU